rnacentral:rRNA from 1 species
UACGUAGGGUGCGAGCGUUGUCCGGAAUUAUUGGGCGUAAAGAGCUUGUAGGCGGUUUGUCGCGUCUGCUGUGAAAAUCCGGGGCUCAACCCCGGACUUGCAGUGGGUACGGGCAGACUAGAGUGUGGUAGGGGAGACUGGAAUUCCUGGUGUAGCGGUGAAGUGCGCAGAUAUCAGGAGGAGCACCGAUGGCGAAGGCAGGUCUCUGGGCCACUACUGACGCUGAGAAGCGAAAGCGUGGGGAGCGAACAGG